rnacentral:lncRNA from 1 species
CAGAAAAAAGUCAUAAAGAAUGGAAAAACAUACAUACCACAUUCCCUGAUUCAAGAAGACUCAUGAUUAAAAUUCUUCUCAAAUGAAUUAACAACUUAUUCAAGGCAAUCCCAAUCAAAAUGCCUCCAGCCUUCUCUUUUUCAACUGAUAUUCCAGUUAUCUACUGCUGUGUAACAGGCCACUCCAAGCUAUAGUGGUGUAAAACUUUCUUUUGCUCACGGAUCUACAACUGAGAGAGGAUUUGGUGGGAACCAAGGUCUCUGCUCCACCUGGUGUCAGUGGCGUGUUGAGGCUGGGAGCUAAAACACACAGUGGGACUCAGCUGGGGCAGGCUGAACACCUGCGAGUGGCCUUCCCACGGGGCUGCUUGGCUUCCCCACAGCAUGGUGGCUGGAAUCUAAGAACAAGCACCCCGAGAGAAUCCAGCAGAAGGCACGUUAUCUUUUAGGACUUCCUCUCAAGUAUCACAGUGUUGCUUCUGCCACAGUCAGAGGCCCACCCAGAUUCAACUGGAGGAAACACAGGCCCAGCCUUUCAACAAGGGAAAGUCACUGUCACAUAGAGAGGAGCAUGUGGGAUGGGUAUGCUGCUACAGCCAUCUUCAGAAAAUAAAUUUGGACACUCGACAUGUGGAAGGGAAAAUGUAGAUGGCCACAAGGUUUAUUUUAAAAGAAAGAUAUUGAUACAUAUUAUAAAAGUGUAAUAGGCCAGGCACGGUGGCUCACUUCUUGAUGUCUAAGGCACAUCCCUAUCAGCUCUGUCUGCGUAAAGGGUGGAGAGGCAGCAACGCCACCAUGGCAGCAAGCACGCCUGCUGCCAGAGGAACCAGGGCUCCAUGGAGACGCGGCUGACUCCAGCACAAGGGCAACGAGCUCCCAGAACCUAAAACAUCUUGGUAUGCCUCAAAUGAUUAGAAAGUGCUCAAAAGAACACAGGUGCCAGUCUGAAGUGACUCUUGAUGGCCAAAUCUGGGACAACCUGAGCAUCAGUAAAGGUGACUGACUAACCACUGCCUGAGCAGAAGGCCCUUGCAGGCGCUCCCCAGAAUAGGGGACGGGCUGACGGAGAUGGGUGGAAAGGUCAGCACCCUUAGUAAAGACUCUGGCUCAGGAAAGAAUCACCACUGGGUGAGGGGCAGGACACUUAAAUCGCCUCACAGUGGCUCCCCAGAGUUAGAUUACUGAUCGCAAGGGGACAACAGCCCCACGCCAGGGAGGAACCGGACAACUCCUGGAGGAGUGAUCAAAUCGAACAUUACAACCAGGUGUUAUGGGGAGAAGAGCUGGCACAGCAGGCCAGGGACAGUGUCCUUCUCAGGCACGCCAGGCAGAGGGGGCCUACGGCGCAGCCUGGUGAAAACCUUGGGUACAGAGUCUCCGGCAGAGGCUUCCCCGGUGGAAAUCUCCUCACGUGUGUCCUCACUGGCUGUGUGGAGCCCGUGGGAAAGGAGGCGGAGCAAAGUCAGCAGAGAAAGGGUGCAUGAGGUGAAAUCUGAGGAAAACCAGGUGCAGACUUACAGUUCCUGUCUCAUUAAAAUCACCAACAACUACCUCUGUGCCUCAGGUCUAGGCUACAAUGUCACAGUGUGUAAUAAUCUAUGUACUUUCUAUGCUGCUAAAUCUUGCUUUAUUUGACUCAAAAUACAGGAAGAAGUGCCGCACAGAAUUUUCUAUUAGUUCACGACAGAAGAAGUGUGUCAAGAACGAAAAGGUUCUUUCUGGAUUCAUGAAUACACAACCAGAAAAUACAAGUGAAAGCUGUGGCGGCCACAGGGCUGAGGCCCACUCGUUCCACGGAGAGUCACGGGGCGCCUCCUGCCCAGGCACGGCAACAGGGAGGAAGGACAUGGUCCUAGCCUCAGUGGGGUCACAAACAAGCAGAAGAAACAACAGAUGACCAAGGACAAUGGAGCCACGAUGGGAACACAGGGGUCAUGAAAACAAAGCUGAAAGUCAUGAUCAAACACAGCUUAGACUAAGCCUGGCAGCCGUGGGGCACAGUGAGACAGCUCACAAGACUGGAGACAUGGGAACACGACCACGCUCGGCGCCACGGUGAGCACAGCACGCCAGACCAGGGCGCAAACACGCAACAGCAAGUCCCGCACUUGGCCAAGGAAUGAAGGGACAACCUAUAACAGAGUAUGUUAAAAAGUAAAUUUGAAAAAUUACAGCUGGCUCAACAAAGCCUAGACCCACACCUUUCCAACCCCAUCCCACCGCGCGUCCUCUUCCCCCACUGGUACUCACACAGCACUCUCCACGCAUCUCCAACUCCACCCCACCACGCGUCCUCUUCCCCCACUGGUACUCACACAGCACUCUCCACGCAUCUCCAACCCCAUCCCACCGCGCAUCCUCUUCCCCUGCUGGUACUCACACAGCACUCUGUCCAGUAAAUAUGGAGGAAGGGAAACGUGAGCAGAGCUUUGUUUCCUUCUUUGGGCAGCAGCUCCUCUUUGAAUUGAACAAAGUUAGACUCUAGGUGAAUCAUCUUCGGAGCCCGGCCAUAGGACCUGUAAACAAUUGUUUGAAGUCACUGAGAAAACAACUAAACAGCAUUCAUCAGAAGAGGGGAAAUAGAACAACAAAUAAUGUAAUGGUAUGCAUGAGUUCAGAGCACAUAUAUUAACCCCAAAUCAUAACUACGCUAUUCUGCUCAGAAACAUUCUAGGAAUUAUUUUAAACACAGUUCACGUGUACAGGUCAAAGCUCCAUUUCCACAAAAUCUUUCAUUUUCCUCAAGGAUACAGGCACAGGAAUACAUUCUUCCAAGUACUGCAUUUAACCAGGGCCACUACAGACUCGACGGUGGGUUUCAGUGUAACGGAAUCUAUAAUUAUGUCACCAUAAAAGAAGAAAAGUGUGUCCCAAAUGUCCAAAGUGCAGUUUUAAUUACGAAAGCUUUAGGGUUGCAUUCGUAUUUUUGGAACAACUUGUAUUUUAUCCAAGAAACAAAGUUAUUUGGCGAAAAUAUAACAUAUUUUUGUUUGCAGAGCACAAAUAAAAUAGCAGGACAAACCUCUACUUUAUUCUCAACCCAAGAAGAAGGAACCCAUCAAGAAAUCCCACACGCCCCCUGCAUCUCAUCCAAGGCUCUCAGUGACGGCCUAACGAUGCUUCUAACAGUGAACCACACCGCGUGGAUCUCUGUGCCGUGCCUUUACUUCUCACUUCUAGCAGCUGCGUCUCUUCUGAAUGUUAUAGCUGGAUUUUGUUUUUCAUCCGAUCUAAGGGUGCUGUGUUUAAUAACUUAAAACCAACCAUCAUGAAUGGGACUAUGCUGAUGCUUAAAUAUGUACAUUUUCUACUUGCCGGCUCUAGUUUUCCCCUGUCCUUUGGGAGAUUAAUCAAGUUUUCUUUUUCCAUCUUUUCUCUCUGCUGGUUUGAAAGUCUUAUCAUCUAUCUCUAUUCUACCGUUGGUUGCAUUUUAAUUCUCAGUACGUAACUUAAGGUUUUAUUACAAAGACUAAAGUUAAAGUCUAUCUCCCCUUCUCUCUGUUCUCCUUCACACACAUCUGAAAUUUUAGAUUUUUAAUUUUUUUAAAAAGUGACACCUUAACUUCAGCAAAACAUGUCAUGUUGCUGGCAGACGUUGCUUUCACCCUGGAUCCCUGGGUUCAUCUGCCUUCGUAUUGGGAUACAUCCUUUAAUUACUCAGAGGGUCGCAAGGUUUCUGUUCUUAUAGAUGUCUGAAAAUAUUUGUAUUCACUUCAGUGCACCUAUCUCCGUAUCAUGACAAGCAGUGAACAUAUGUGAAUGGGACUCUGGGGUAGACAGGAAUGGCUUUCUGUACACAGAAGUGAUGGAACAGAACUGCACACAGAAGUGAUGGGGCAGAACUCCUGGCCAUCCUGGCCCCCACACGGCCAGCCGGGGGCCUAGAGGAAAAAUCUCUCAGCACCUGUGGCUCACGCAAGGCCCUCAGGGUGGGAAGCUGUGACAGAGUCUUCCCUCUUGAUGACACUGUGAAUGAUAAAGAAUUCUAGGGUCUGGGGUACUUUCCCUCAGGACUGUGGGGAGGCUGCUCGUAAAUGUAUUUUAUGUUGCACUGUAAAUGGUUCUGUUAGAAACUGUCUACUUGGUUCUUCUUCUGUUUCUCUCUGAUUCCCUGGCAUGAUUUUCUGUUUGCUUUGUUUUCUUCAUUCUGCUUGACAUUCACUAGGCUCCUGCAGUAUCCCAACUCCCUUCUGGGAGAAGCUUGACAGCCAUUCUUCAAAUGUCACCUGUCCUCUGUUCCCUCCACUUUCCUUCUGAAAAGCCCCUCAGGUGGAUCCUGGAGCUCCGUGAUUUAUCCUCCAGGGCCAGCUUUUCCUCCAUGCUCUCCCAUUCCUGCUUUUAGCAAUGAUCUCCCGAGUCUCUAAGCUCAAUUCUUCCAGCUCACUAAUUUGCUUUUCAGCUAUACAGCUGUUUAGUGCAUCUGGCAAACUUUGUUUCAAUUGUUUUCAUUUCCUAGAUCCAAUCAAUUAAUUUUAAAUUUCUACUUUUUAUCAAAGUAAUUAUUUUUUGUUUUAUUUCAUUUUAUUUUUUGAGCCAGAGUUUUGCUCUUGUCACCCAGGCUGGAGUGUAAUGGUGCAAUCUUGGCUCACUGCAAUCUCCUCCUCCCAGGUUCAAGCAAUUCUCCUGCCUCAGCCUCCCGGGUAGUUGGGAUUACAGGCGUGUGCCACCAUGCCUGGCUAAUUUUGUAUUUUUAGAAGAGACAGGGUUUCACCAUGUUGGCCAGGCUGGUCUUAAACUCCAAUCUACCCGCCUUGGCCUCCCAAGUGCUGGGAUUACAAGUGUGAGCCACUGUGCUGACCUGAGAUAAGUACUUCAAUACAAAGAGUACUGAAAAGCUUUUCUCUCUCUCCCUCUCUUCCUCCUCACCGCCCACCAACACACACACACAUCCAUGUCUUGGUAUGUUUUCUGCUGCUGUAACAGAAUAUCACAGGCUGGGUAAAUUAUAAGCAACAGAAGGUUAUUGCGCUCACAGUUCUGGAGGCUGGGAAGUCCAAGAUCAAGGUGCCAGCAUCUGGUGAGGGCCUUCUUGGUAUGUCAAAACCCGCAGAGGGCAUCACAUGGUGACAGGGCAAGAGCCAGAGAGCCAAAGAGAGCUCACUUUGAUAAGAAAGCCACUCACGUGAUAAGGAGCCCACUCCCGUGACAGCAACAUUAAUCCACUCACGAGGGCAGAAAUUAAGUUUCCAAUGCAAGAAUGUUUGGGGACACAUCCAAACUACACCAAGUACCUGCUCCAUCCUCCUCAACCUGCCCUCCUGCAUGAGUUUCCAGACCUGCUGUCACAAACUACCACAAACCUGGAGGCUUAGGACAUUAGCUUAUUCUUGCAUGUUUCAUGAGGCCAGAAAGUUGAAAUCAAGGUAUGGGUGGGCUUAGUUCCCUCUGGCUGCAGUGGGAGGUUCCUUGCUUCUCUCCCAGCUUCUGCUGGCUGCUGGCAUCCUCAGCAUUCUUCGGCUCAUGAACACAUCACUCUCAUCUCUACCUCCAUCUUCACAAGGUCUUCUACCCUGUGUCUGUGUCUUCUCUUCUGCCUCUUACAAGGACACUUGUCAUUGGAUUCAGGGUCUACCCUAAUUGAAGAGGAUCUCACAGUGAGGUCCUUAUCUUAACCAUAUCUGCGAAGACCCUUAUUCCAAUAAAGACACAUCCUGAGGUUUCAGGUGGACGUAUCUUCCCUAAGGUAACACAUUUCUUUCCCAAAUUUUAAGGUUGUUUCUGAAAAACGUAGUCUUUUCCCUGGGGCCAUCCAAUUUUCCUGAGAUAAGUUCUCUACUCUCUUGCCUAGGAAGCAUGGAUCUGGCUACAGAGUUCCCGGAGCGGAGCUGUGCCCUGUUCAGAACCUAGGCCGGCUGGUUUUAGAAUGGCCCUUCUCCCUUGCCUUCUGCAGCACCUCAGAUCCGAGGGUCUGGAGCUCUUCUGUCCACAGAAAGACUUUCCAGGUUCCUGAGGGGCGGCGGGGGUGGGGGGGGGGGUUGGGGGAGUGGGCAAUGACAGCAAUCACUUCACUACAGACAGGAGUGGGGACCCUGAGUCUAACUGUCCCUGUCCACACCUCUGCCAACCCCCAUCUCCAGCCCUGCUUUCACCCGGGCCUUCCAAGAUCUGGCACUUUGUCCCUUGUCAGAAAUUCCCCUCCUCUUAUGGAGCCACAAGACACAAGGGAUUGAACUUCCUCAGCUUUCUCUCCCAAUUCCUCCACCUGUUUCUCUUUCUCCCAAAAACACAGCUAUAUCCUGCGGCCUCCGCUGCCUCCUCCUUUCUCUGUCUUUAUGCACGUCUGCCUUUUUAGUUCUUUAGGGUGAUUUGUUUAGCAUUUGUUUGGUCCAUUUUUUUUAGUCCAUUUAUUUGUUUAGUAUUUAUGUAGUCCAUUUACUGGAGUUUCGGAAAGGGGAAGAGAUGAAUACAAAUAUUAAAUCUACACAGUUUCUUUUUAUUUAUUUUUUAGCCAGGGUCUUGCUCUGUCACCCAGGCUGGAGUGCAGUGGUGCAAUCUCAGCUCACUGUAGCCUCCAACUCCUGGGCUCAAGUGAUCCUCUCACCUCAGCCUCCCAAGUGGCUAGGACUACAGGCGUGCACCACCAUGUCCAGCUAAUUUUAUUUCUUCUUUACAGAGACAGGGGUUUCACUAUGUUGCUCAGGCCGGUCUUGAACUCCUAGGCUCAAGCGAUCCUCCCACCUGACCCUCCUACAGUGUCUGGAUGACAGGCGUGAGCCACCAUGCCGGGCCUACAUAGUUUCUCCAUUUAAUUUUUUUCUCAAAAUUAUCUUGUUUCAUGAACACACUUUUUUUUUCCCUUUAUCUAUCAGAAUGCCCUUACAGAUUACUCCAUUUGCUAAACUCUUUUCUCUCUUUCACAGCACUGGGCCUCCUCACAUGUUAAGCAAUUUUUCUCUUACACUCUGUACACUCUUUAUAUUAAAUAUUAGCAACUAAAUGCAUAUCUUGUAAGACACUAUAAUCAGCACAGAAAUUAGACUAUAUUCACCUGGGUAAGUCAACUCCAGAAAGCCACCUUAAUCCCUCAUGUUACUAAGGCACAAACUGGUGGUCAGAAAGGAAUAAUGCUAUAAGAAUCAGACUUACAUAAACACAAAGAACAACAGGAAAUUCUGUAUACCCUGGUUAAAAUCAGAUUACCUAUGUUACAAGACAAAAUCCAAAUUUACAAAUUUACAUUUACAUAUACACAACUUUAUAUUUACAAGUAACACCUGCUCUUACCAGAAAUAAGUUUUCCAAGAAGAGGAUUCCCAGUCAGUGAUUUCCUAUGAGUAUGUCACCAGACGACUAACUGUAAACAUGCAACAGAGCAACGGUGAUGGCUGAUCUAACCUCGCUCCUAAUUUUUAAAUACCAUCUUUCUGUUUACCUUCUUGUCCUUAAGGAAAACGCACAGGAGCCAGGGUGGAGGGAGGGUCUUGUAAGAUGGCUGAUACAGCCCAGUUCUUCCGCUUUAAGGUGGAGUCUAAGUGAGCACGUGUCUCCUUUGCAAAACGCCUGUGCCUUUAAGACAUUCUGGUCAACCAUGAAGAAUCACAGAUCAUUCCUAUAAAAGUGAGUCUUUAACUCAAAAUAAUUGUCUUGCUUCUACUUUCCAAUGUCUCGUUAAGAAAAACCAUCGUAGUCUGGGCACAGUGGCUCAUGCCUAUAAUCCCAGCACCUUGAGAGGCCGAGGAGGGCGGGUCAGUUGAGGUCAGGAGUUCAAGACCAGCC